rnacentral:rRNA from 1 species
AUGGCCUCCACCGGCGGAGACGGAGGCCGCCACUGGCUCGACGACGAGGCGCCCGACCUCCGCUCCCGCAUCCGCCAAACCCUAACGAGCAAAUUGGCCCGAUAUUAUCAGCCUAGGUAUGCCCCUGAUUCCCAGGAGGCCCAGAGAUUUGUUGCCAACUUCGAGGAGGUGGCAUUCAGGGGGACCAACAGUAAGGAAGACUACAUGAGAAACAUAUCAAGCAAGUUGCUCAUUAUGGAGAAAAAAACAAGUGGACUUCUAGAACGACGAAUGCAGUCACGUAGUCAAUCGCGACUUGCUAAUACAGCUCAGGCUUUACAGGGAGGCAAUCCUUCUGUAAGGCCAGAGGCAGGGAUGAUGGCUACUCCAGGGCCAACUUCUCAGCCUAUGACGCCUCAAACUUCAGGCCUAGUGCCCAACCAGCACAUGGUUUACCCUCGCAACACAAACUUGCAGACUGAGGUUGAGCAAAAGCACCCUGGCGUCAUGACAAUUCUGGAUCAGCGUCCAAAGUUUCAACCCAAAGGGAUCACUACAGUAGGGCCAGGUGUCAGUCUGUGGCAGAUGCAAUCAGGAGCCAAUCAGAGUCAGAGCCAACAUGCGUCCAGGCAAGCACAGACUACAAACUUUGUAGGUUGCAGCCCACCCAGUGUGUCAAAGACAGCUGGGGGACCAAAUUCUCUGCAAAAUCACCUACUUGGCCAAAAUGGUAGUUCCGUUGGAAAGCAGCAGCCACAGCUGACAAGGAUGAAUCAGCAAAGUUCAAGAGCCGACCAACAAGAGACGGACAUGCAAAAGUACCAAAUGCUUGGAGCACAACAAACUAAUAUCUCCAAGAUGCAGCCCAGUCAGCUUGGAGGAUGUAAUAAUCAGAAGGAUACUAGGCAGACAAAUCUGUUACGGUCACCGGUCGAGGCAUCUGAAUAUGAGCCUAUGGCUCCACCUCUACAACAGAUUGCCGGUGCUCAACAAAGCACUUUGCUUUGUCAGAGCUCCCAGAAUACUGUAUUUGUUAUUUCAGCUAUGAUGGGCAGUGCUAGAGAAUACGAUCUAAUUGAGGGGAUGUUUUCGCAGAUCAAGUCUUGGAAGGAUGCUUAUUUUUCGCAGUUUGUGGAACUGGAACGUCGAGUUGUUAUUCCAACACUAACAGAGGAACAAUUCUUGUCACUACCUGCAGCAAAAGCUAAUGAAUACAAACGUAAAGCAUAUGCCAAGAGAUCAAUCAGAAAGAUACUGAAUUUCUUGCUGUUGGAGAAAAGUGAUGUAAAUGAGGGUUUGAAGUUGGACUUCCCCAAGUACAAAGAAGACGUACAGAAAUUGGUGGCUUAUAUUGAGCGGGGUAAAGCUCACAAUGCAGAGAUGAAUACAGGACAUCAGUUGCGGAACUGUCGUGAGCAGCCUCAAGUAAUUAAUCUUACUGGCAAUGCAUCCUCAAUCAGUGGUGGUAAAAGACAGCAAAAGCAACCUGCAGACACAAGCAUUUUGCAGUCAAGGCAAACAAAUAUGGCUAGAACACCACCACCUCAUGAACAGAGCAAUGGCAACCACUUGCUAGGAAUAGCAAGUCCUUUCUCUUCACCAGGAUCAUUGCCGUCUUGUUCUUCCAGUCUGCUUGAGUCCUUGACCCCCUCACCAGUUGCAAAUCCAGUGAUAGCACCAGCAUCACGUUGUGAUCCGCUGAUCCCAAUGGACGUUGACAGCAUAUCUGCCUUCUUGUUGCACGGCAAUUCAGCAGCACCAGCACCAAAAGCAAACGGUUCUAACCAAGUCACUCCUACUAAACCGACAUUACCAGCCUCACCACGUCAGGCAGACAUAGCAGCUGGUCAAGCAGAGGUUCAGGCGGGAGGUGGAGACAGAACACCAGUGACUGAAAAGCCCAUCGACCGCCUAAUGGCUGCGAUACGAUCUUCAUCACCGGCAGCUCUACGCAGCUCAGCUAAUUCAAUUUGGUCUGUCCUCAGCAUCAGCGACACUGUACCACAUGGGCAAAUUGGCACAAUUUUGGAUGACACAUCCUCUCAGCAGCAGUGGGGUGGACCUAAUACUGCGAGAAGAAUGAAGCGAGUUUUCAAUCAUACAGCAGCACACUCUGAAUCGCUACCUCUGGGAAGCAUGGAUGGCAGUUGCAUGACAUUUGAGUGUGACGCCUCAGACUCUGGAUCCAGCAGCGAGCAGAACAUUAAGCGGGCGAAAACACAGAAUGCUAAUGAUGCUCUGUUGAAAGAAAUCAAAUCUAUUAAUGACACACUGAUUGACACAGUGGUCAGCAUAUCUAUGGAUGGGAUCGCCCCUUACGAUGGCGGGACAACAAUCAAACUGUCUUACAGCGCCGUGUCGCUUUCACCGACCGUGAAAUCACUCAUUGCAACAUCUGGAAUGUCCCUUGUUUUGCCCGUGAAGUUAUUCGUCCCAGCAGAUUAUCCGAGCAGCUCUCCGGUGCCUAUCAGUGACGGAGGAGAUGAGGUGCCAAGGAGGAAUUCCAGCGCCAUUUCAGCCUCGGUAGACGUGGCAUUCCGGCACGCCCUCCGUGGUCUCUUGGAACCCUGGUCGAUUGAGGCGGUGGCCAGGGCAUGGGAUGCCUGUGUGCGAAAGGCCGUGACACAGUUUGCACACCGGCUCGGCGGGGGGACGGUCAACUCGAUAUUUGGCGGGUGGGAGAGAUGCGCUGCCGCAUGA